rnacentral:rRNA from 1 species
UACGAAGGGUGCAAACGUUGCUCGGAAUUAUUGGGCGUAAAGCGCACGUAGGCGGCUUAGCAAGUCGGAAGUGAAAUCCCUCGGCUCAACCAAGGAAGUGCUUUCGAAACUGCUGAGCUUGAGUACAAAAGAGGAUCGCGGAAUUCCCGGUGUAGAGGUGAAAUUCGUAGAUAUCGGGAGGAACACCGGUGGCGAAGGCGGCAGCCUGGGUCGACACUGACGCUGAGGCGCGAAAGCGUGGGGAGCAAACAGG